rnacentral:rRNA from 1 species
UACGAAGGGGGCUAGCGUUGCUCGGAAUCACUGGGCGUAAAGGGUGCGUAGGCGGUCUAUUAAGUCAGUUGUGAAAUACGGCAGCUCAACUGUCGAGGUGCAAUUGAUACUGAUGGACUUGAGUACUGAUGAGGUAAGCGGAAUGGACGGUGUAGCGGUGAAAUGCUUAGAUAUCGUCCAGAACACCGAUAGCGAAGGCAGCUUACUAAGGAGUAACUGACGCUGAGGCACGAAAGUGUGGGGAUCAAACAGG